CUGCCCGCUAAUGCCCACAGCCUGCGGUGGGAGCAGCCUGCCUGCCAGAUUUUCCCCACUUCCCUGAGAUAUAAUGUACGGUUUUCUUACCUCGAGGUGUAAUUUCGUGUUGCCUUUUCUUCCCCUUCAGGGAAGGGCUCACUAGAUGGCACUGUGUCACUGUGGGACAAGUCACCUCCAUCUGCUUCUAGGCAGUCUGUAUCAUUGAGCAGGGAGAAUGGAGUCAUCUUCGUUCUCUGCUGAUCUGUGACACGAGGUAUUACGUUUUCUGAAUAACACAUCUAUCAUGCAAUAGGAUCAUAAAAUGCAAAAAAAUUCUCCUGAACAACCAUUGUGAUUGCUGGAUGAAGAUGAAAUCUUGUCAUGUUCUCCGUUAGUACUUGUCUCUUCAAGGGAAACUGUUGUACUUUCAGUAGAGCACACUUAUGGACUCUUGGUGACAUAUACAUCUGCUACAAAAAGGAGACAUUAAUCAUCACUUCGUUGAGGUACAGGGAAAGUGUGGGCCUGCAAAGGCGUGUGCAGAAGCAGCCAUCUCCAGAGAGGCAGCUGUGAAGAAGGAAGUCUUAAGCACCAGCUUAGAGGAGACUGAGAAAGAAGCAUGAGCUCAAACCGUGACUAGACCUAAUCUUUCCAAGGAGCAGAUGGCCACAGCUUUUCUCCCUCCCUCCUCUGCACCAAAUGGAGUUUGGGGACAAUGUUUGGAGAUGCCGCAAUUUAAAGAGGAAGACUGUUAUUUCAGACCUGUAAUGUGAUUGUCAGUAGUAUAAUUCUGGAACUGAGCAGAUUCUAGGGUACUGCAGAUGCUGUAUGACUUUCUAGGAGUCAGAAAACAAAGCAGAAGCUGUGUUACCACAACUACAGCACAACUGGUGCCUUGGAAAAGCCACUAGUAUCAAAGAACCUUCCUUUUUAAAGGAGAUUUUAAAACUCACCUCUUGAGUCUCUCAACAUAUGGUGCUCAGAAGAGCUUAAAAGGUUAAGAGCUACCCAAACAAAAUAUUCACUGUCCAGAAGCCCUGGAGCUCAUUACCCUUAAGUACUGCAGUGUUUAUAGCCAUGCCGAGGAGGCAAAGGAGAUGAAAUGUCCUUCAGAAGGGGAAUUAAUGUAUUACCAUUCAUUCCUUUUAUAGAUAAUAUUGCUAUUUAGGAAGUGCUAAAGUACAUGAUGUCUUUACUGAUUAAAUUUCCUGUGUAAGCAAAAUGUUCAUAAAGUUACAUAACUGCAUUUUUCUUCCUACUUCAUUGCUGGCAGCUUCAGUACAGGCUUCUCAAGUACUGUA
rnacentral:lncRNA from 1 species